AACGCAUAUUGCACCUUGGAGUAUUCUCCAAGGUAUACUUGUUUGAGCGUCGUUUAACAUCUAAAGCUUUUGCUUUGUGUUAGAUUUUGGCUUUGAAAUAUCAGAUGCCAAUUUCUUAAACAUAGUGGUAUUAUUUUACUUGACUAGUAUACAGUGAAAAUGUGUAUUAACAGCUAAAAUAUUAUUACCUAUCGAUAUUAAACUCAUUUGUUCGACCUCAAAUCAAGUAAGAUUACCCGCUGAACUUAA
rnacentral:misc_RNA from 1 species